rnacentral:rRNA from 1 species
GCACAAGCGGUGGAGCAUGUGGUUUAAUUCGACGCAACGCGCAGAACCUUACCAGGCCUUGACAUCCCGUGCUAAGCCCAGAGAUGGGUGGUCCCCGCAAGGGGCGCGGAGACAGGUGCUGCAUGGCUGUCGUCAGCUCGUGUCGUGAGAUGUUGGGUUAAGUCCCGCAACGAGCGCAACCCUCGCCUUUAGUUGCCAUCAUUAAGUUGGGCACUCUAAAGGGACCGCCGGCGACAAGCCGGAGGAAGGUGGGGAUGACGUCAAGUCCUCAUGGCCCUUACGGCCUGGGCUACACACGUGCUACAAUGGCGGUGACAAUGGGCAGCGACCACGCGAGUGGAUGCGAAUCCCAAAAAACCGUCCCAGUUCAGAUUGCACUCUGCAACUCGGGUGCAUGAAGGUGGAAUCGCUAGUAAUCGCAGAACAGCAGGCUGCGGUGAAUACGUUCCCGGGC